UUCGUAGGGUGCAAGCGUUGUCCGGAAUUAUUGGGCGUAAAGAGCUCGUAGGCGGUUUGUCGCGUCGGCUGUGAAAACUCGGGGCUCAACCCCGAGCCUGCAGUCGAUACGGGCAGACUAGAGUGCUGUAGGGGAGACUGGAAUUCCUGGUGUAGCGGUGAAAUGCGCAGAUAUCAGGAGGAACACCGGUGGCGAAGGCGGGUCUCUGGGCAGUAACUGACGCUGAGGAGCGAAAGCGUGGGGAGCGAACAGG
rnacentral:rRNA from 1 species